UACAGAGGGUGCGAGCGUUAAUCGGAAUUACUGGGCGUAAAGCGCGCGUAGGCGGCUUUGCAAGUCGGGUGUGAAAUCCCCAGGCUUAACCUGGGAACUGCAUUCGAGACUGCAUUGCUAGAGUAUGGGAGAGGGAAGUGGAAUUUCCGGUGUAGCGGUGAAAUGCGUAGAUAUCUGGAGGAACACCGGUGGCGAAGGCGACAUCCUGGACCGGUAUUGACGCUGAGGCGCGAAAGCCAGGGGAGGCAAACGGG
rnacentral:rRNA from 1 species